CCUACGGGGGGCUGCAGUGGGGAAUAUUGCACAAUGGGCGCAAGCCUGAUGCAGCCAUGCCGCGUGUGUGAAGAAGGCCUUCGGGUUGUAAAGCACUUUCAGCGGGGAGGAAGGCGUUAAGGUUAAUAACCUUGUCGAUUGACGUUACCCGCAGAAGAAGCACCGGCUAACUCCGUGCCAGCAGCCGAGGUAAUACGGAGGGUGCAAGCGUUAAUCGGAAUUACUGGGCGUAAAGCGCACGCAGGCGGUCUGUCAAGUCGGAUGUGAAAUCCCCGGGCUCAACCUGGGAACUGCAUUCGGAACUGGCAGGCUAGAGUCUUGUAGAGGGGGGUAGAAUUCCAGGUGUAGCGGUGAAAUGCGUAGAGAUCUGGAGGAAUACCGGUGGCGAAGGCGGCCCCCUGGACAAAGACUGACGCUCAGGUGCGAAAGCGUGGGGAGCAAACAGGAUUAGAUACCCCGGUAGUC
rnacentral:rRNA from 1 species